rnacentral:rRNA from 1 species
UACGUAGGGGGCAAGCGUUGUCCGGAUUUAUUGGGCGUAAAGAGCGUGUAGGCGGCCAUACAGGUCAGCUGUGAAAACUCGAGGCUCAACCUCGAGACGUCGGUUGAAACCGUAUGGCUAGAGUCCGGAAGAGGAGAGUGGAAUCCCGGUGUAGCGGUGAAAUGCGCAGAUAUCGGGAAGAACACCUAUGGCGAAGGCAGCUCUCUGGGACGGUACUGACGCUGAGACGCGAAAGCGUGGGGAGCGAACAGG